CACAGAACAGCAUUUGGAAGGUAGCCUUUCCCUCCACCAGAGUGAAAUGCCAUCUUUGACUCUGGCAUAGACUGGGCCAGAGCAGACAGGAAAUAAAGCAGGCCAAGGGAAAACGAGGAUGAAGGGGCCAUUUUUGAAAAGGGCAAGAGCAGGGGCUGGGGAUAUGGCCUAGUGGAAAGAGUGCCUGCUUCAUAUACAUG